ACGGGACUUCAUGUCGCAGAGUGAAACUGGCUCCCAGUCCCCAGGUGGAGGUGGCUCUGAAAGAUGACAGUGCCUAAAAAAUAGCAACAACAUUGAAAACACAAUGAAAUGCUCAUUUUUAUAUUAAGGGAGGGUGAGUUUUAGAGAAGGGCUCUGUGCAUUUUCAACAAGGUGGGAGAUAAAUGGAAAGAAGCCUUCUCUUGGCUGUAAAGACAACAUCAAAGCUUCUCUAUUGAUCCAAGGGAAAUAAUUACAGCGAUAUCCUGAGAGAGUCAAUGGACUCCCAACAUAGAAUUCCACGUCUGAUUUAUGCAAUCUCACCCAUUCCCAACACAUGGCCUCGGGACACAGUGGCAAAUAAUAACAUUUAAUUAAAACACAUAAAACAGAAGCAUCAAUGACAGCCAAGUCAAAAUCAAUAUAAUGCUAAUUUCUAAAGAUGGUGCUUGCAUGAGGUCCAGGGGGUCAGCAGCAAGGGAUUUCACGACAAAGAGCCUUUGUGAAAGGGAGCAGACUUCCAUUUCCUGUGGCUGGAGUUACAGACCGCAGAGAUCCUAUAGCUCAAAUCCCUCACUGCACAGAAGAUAAACCGAGGUCUGGAGAACUGAGAAUUUCAUAAUAGAGUCAGUGGUAGCAUAAUAAUCUGACUUUUAGGCUUGUGUUCUUUGUUCCUGUGUCAUUCUCCCUUUAAGUCUCAGAGUUCUUGGUAGGAAUGCCCUCUCACUUCAGAUGGAGUGCCGAAGUCAAUGGAAGAAGCCACCCAUCAGUGGCACAGGUGUCUCUAAACCUGACAACACAUGACAUCUUCCAUGGCUGACUGCAUCUCAACAAAGGUUUUUAAUCGGCAGCCUGCAGUGUGACGUUUCUAAGUCAAAUUGCUUCUUUGUGCCUGCAGGUCCCCUUCCUGUCACUUGGAUUUGGUCAGAGAGCUCACAACCUCAGCUGCACCAUCUGCUUUUUCAGAGGACAAGGAGACCCUCAUGGCCCAGAAGAAAUGGCAAAUGAAACAAAUUCUCCUUGAAUUCGUGUAGAACAUAAUUCUGCAACAGAUAGAAUUUCCUUUUCAUCCAAAUAGAUCACUUGGGUGAUAAAUGUUAGAAACUGAGUAGGUUGCAUGGGGUUAAGAUUACAUUGUGUUUUCAUCAGUUCCCAGCUCUUGGUCUGAAAUUUGGGCACAGAGUUCUGGAAACUCUGACUUUUCAAGAAGUUGCUUGGCAUUGUUCUCUUUGACUAAAAUGGAAAAUGGGAGAUGCUUCAAGUCUUAAUUGCAUUUGCAGUCUUUGGUAGAUCUUAUCAAAUUGCAAUUGUGAAUAAUCUUUGGGGUUGCAGAAGUGUGAGACUGAGGUGGUCGUGGGAGUAUAGACUCCAAGAUGGCUGAUUUCUACUCGGUAGCAGACUCUGUCUGAAAAUGCUAACUUUACCCUUGCUCACAGACUGGAGAACAGGCAACAUGGCCUGUGCCCUUCUGGUUAUUUGGUUCUCUGUGUGAAGGUGUUGGGUAGAGGGUGUCACUGGGCUGGCGGUCUUACAGCAUAAGCAAACAGAUAUCUCCUUUUAAGAGCUAUUGGAUUGGUGACCAUAGAAAACUGGAAGUGCUUGGCAAAUCUUGUCUAAAUCAGGGGUUCUCCCAAACUUUCUAAAUAAAGGGCUUAGGGGUGCCAAUCUGGUUCAAAGGGGGUCAGCUAGGGACUUGUUCUGCAACAGAGUUUGCAUAAUAAUUUAAACUACCAUUGAUUGAAAAUUUAUUUUGCAGUGAGAAUGCUUCAUUUAAUCUUCAAAACAACCCUAUGAUGGAUGUUUUAUUAUUAACCUUACUGUACUGAUUUCCAGUUGAGGCAUUGUGAGUAACUUGCUCAAAGUCAUACACGGGUGGUGAAGAAAGGACUUAAGCCAAUGUAGUUUUACUCCAAAAUCUAUACACUUGUCCAUUAUACAACCCUGCCUUUUAGUUGUGAGCAUGAUGUCUAUUACUUAGAUGUGAUGCUUAUUUGGGGUGGCUGAUGGAGAUGAUGGGGGUGGUAAACUUCCUCCACCCAAGCCACUUGUCUGAAGGUUUUUAGCUGCAUGUAUUUACUCUGGAGAGCUUAGUCUGUAACUGAAAACAGGAUGAAUCCAAGCAGGUCUGCUGGUGAACCAAGAACCUGCUGGAGCUUUCAGUGAUGAAAAUCAGGGAGAAGAGCUAGGUACAAACAUCCAGUUGUCAGAGUUUAGCUAAUAGCGCAGGCACUGUCUACCAAAGAGGUAAAAGCUAGCCAGCAGAGUGGUAGAGAGAGUUCCUGGCACGUAAAUAAUUAUUUUUCUCUGUCUUUGUCACAGACAUACAAAGUAUUUCAAGGGAACCUUGUUCAGGAACCUUAGAAGGGCCAGUUGAGGCUGUUCCUCUCCUUGUUUUAAUAGUUGAAGCAGACUGAAGAGAACAUUUGUGGCUAGUGCUGCAGAAAAAAUCACCAAUGGCUGAAAAAAAAAUCAGUUGAACAGCUUUUGGUAUCAGGAUAGCUGUUGGACCUGGAGCUGUGGAUAAACUUUAAGGGUGAUAAUGUCAUAGGAGAUUCACAGAUUUAAUUCUAUUGAAGGAGAGAACCCUUAUGGGAUUAACCAGUCUUUAAAAAAAAGUUGACUGGUGACAAAAAUACCUAAUUGUGGAUUUGCAAAAAUGUUUUAUUUAUUAAAAUGAUACAUGCUAAUGAGGUAUAAGAAAAAAUAUUUACAAAGAAGAAAUUCCUUCAUUUAUUCUACAAAUAAUUUUAAAGUAUCUACUAUGUGCCAGAUAUGGUUUAGGCACUUGGGACUCAGCAGUGAACAAAACAGACAAAAGUAGCUGCCCUUGGGGAGCUGAACCCCUAGCACGGGAGGCAGAUACGAAAGGUAAUAAUUAAGUAAAGUACAUAAUUAGUAUAUGAGAAGAUGGUAAGUGGUAUGACCAAAAAAAAAACAAAAACAAAAAACAAAAAAAGAAAGUAACAGAGGAAUGGGGAAAGAGAGUUGAGGCAGAGAAAGGAGCAGCUUUCUAAUUUGAAAGGAUGGCUGAGAUAAGCCUCUUUGAAAAGGUGUCAACUGAGCAGAGACUUGAAUGAGGUGAGAGUGAGGCUUGGAAUAUUGAUGGGUAGGAUGUUAUGGGCAGAGGCAAUGGCAGAUGCACCAACCCUAAAGUGAGAAAAGUCCCCUGUGCCUCAGGAGAUGGGGUCAGAGAAAGAGUAGGCAAUGGUGAGGUCAGAGGCAAUGAAGACCAGGGCAUAAGUGAAAUGGGGGCCCUUGGAGGGUUUCAUCAGAGGUGUGAGAUAACCUGACUUUGUAUUUUAAAAGGUUUAUUCUAGAAGCCAUGGUGGAGGAGCAGGGGACAAGCAGGGAGGCCAGUCAGGAGGUUCAUACUGUCAUCCAAGGAAGAGAAAAUGGUGGCUGGGACCAGGGUGGUAGCAGUGGAGAUGGUAAAAGGGGCCAGGAUUCUGGAUAAUCUUGAAGUUACAGCCAAUAUAAUUUCUGAGGGACUAGGUGUGGCAGAUAUCAGAAGAGGAAGAGUGAAAAGAUGAUACCAGCUGGGCGCAGUGGCUCUUGCCUGUUAUCCCAACACUUUGGGAGGC
rnacentral:lncRNA from 1 species